rnacentral:rRNA from 1 species
UACAGAGGGGGCAAGCGUUGUUCGGAAUUACUGGGCGUAAAGGCGCGUAGGCGGCCUGUUAAGUCGAACGUGAAAUCCCCGGGCUCAACCCGGGAACUGCGUCCGAUACUGGCAGGCUUGAAUCCGGGGAGAGGGAUGCGGAAUUCCAGGUGUAGCGGUGAAAUGCGUAGAUAUCUGGAGGAACACCGGUGGCGAAGGCGGCAUCCUGGACCGGCAUUGACGCUGAGGCGCGAAAGCCAGGGGAGCAAACGGG